rnacentral:rRNA from 1 species
CAGCCCUUGACUUGUGACUCGCCGGCUCCAGAGACGGAGCCUUCGGUUCGGCCGGAGUCAACACAGGUGCUGCAUGGCUGUCGUCAGCUCGUGUCGUGAGAUGUUGGGUUAAGUCCCGCAACGAGCGCAACCCUCGUCUCCAGUUGCCAUCAGGUAAUGCUGGGCACUUUGGAGAAACUGCCGGUGACAAGCCGGAGGAAGGUGGGGAUGACGUCAAGUCCUCAUGGCCCUUACGGGCUGGGCUACACACGUGCUACAAUGGCGGUGACAGUGGGAUGCGAAGGGGCGACCCGGAGCCGAUCCUAAAAAGCCGUCUCAGUUCGGAUUGCACUCUGCAACUCGAGUGCAUGAAGGUGGAAUCGCUAGUAAUCGAGGAUCAGCAUGCCUCGGUGAAUACGUUCCC